CCACAGAGAGCUUGCUGCUGACGCCUGCUGUCCUCCUGCCCGGCGGUGCCAGCCUGACGUGGUGACGCUUGAACCUGAGCUGCCUUCACUCACUAUAAUCCCUCAUCCAUUCAGGGUCCCUGCUGGGAACCCGCCAGGCCCUGAGGACUCAGGCCUGUGGCUGCCCAGCGGCCUCUACACGGGCAUCUCCCCACACCGACUCCUGGGCCAUCCCGUGAGGCCAGAAGCCCUGGGCAGGGCUCCAAGGGCACGGGGACCUGUGAGCUCCAUCCCCGCUCCCUGGGGCCCUGGUCCCGCCCACAGUGGAGCUGGGUCCAGCCAGGAGCCCUGCCCUUGCAGGCCCGCAGCCCGGGGAGGGGGUUAUUUGUUGGGGGUGGGAGGGGCGCCCAUUGUUUCUGCAGGAAGAUCUCCAGGAUCUCCAGUCCCUUGGGAUGGGCCUCAGUUCAUCCGUGUACACACCAGUGGGGGUGUGCUCUCGGCAUCCAGGAGGGAGAUGAUGCUGGCUGCCACGGCCUCGGAGUGCCACGUCCCUGCCACCUGGGCUGGAGUGGGCAGAAAGGAGGUCCCCACUGCACCGUGGGCUCUCUGUCCCACCCCCACCAGGCCAUGCCGGGUCUAACUGAAGAGGGGGGCGGUGACAUAGGAUGACUCUCUGCUCGCUAGUGGUCACCAAGCUGUGGAAUUUCCCGCACCUGAAGUAACGCUUCCCUGUUAACCCAGGUGGACUUAAAGUCCACGUCAUGAGCCUCACUUAGGACCAUCUGGGUCUUGGGGAACAAGCCGUGUGCACCCUGAAGAGGGUUUCCUCACGUCAUGUCUUCCUUGGGUGUGCCUUCAGGCCUCUGAGGCCCAGCUGCCCUGCAACUCGCCGCCCCCCCCCGGCCACCCUCAGCCUCAGGCCCUUCAUGGUCUGGGUGAUGACGAAAGUCUGGGCGCCACAGGCGAAGGCCAGGCCCAGGGCAAGCAGAAGUGAUUCAUGGCUGUAGCUGGGGUGGCGCUUCUGAGCUCCGGAGGGAGAGGAGGGCUGAGAGAGCAGGCUCGGGGCCUUAUACAGGAAGAGGGCUGGCCAGCCAGACCAGGCUGGGCCCCCAGCCACGCGGUUCCCUGAAUCCCCCCUGGCCCAUCCUUGGGCCCUCAGGCAGCUUCCUCCACCGGGACAAUAGGAGGCCUUCUUCCAUCCAAGGCCGAGCAGGAAGGCCCCUUGUGUCCUGCGCCUGGACGGUUCCUGGUAGGCCCCAGAUUGGGGUGGGGGGUGUCUGGGCUGUGGGUCCAGGCUGGUCAUCAGCUCCAGGAGCACUUCCGGGGUCAGCCUCUUGGACACGACAGCCUGAACUGGGUUCUCUCCCCCAACCCCGUCACCUCUGUGUCCCAGAGCUCUGUGUGUUUGGCAGCAGGAAAACCUGGGGUCAGUGUGUUUUGGCCACACAGUCUUGACAUCUUCACCCCCAAAAUAAUCUCUUAAAUCCACCUUUCCUGUUGUGUUCCCCAUAGCAGUUCCCUGGUUCUAGACCCACAAAUAAGUGUUUAUGGGCAAGAUGACUGAAACACCCCUCCCCUCCCCGUCGCACAUUCAGCUGCCAGAGGGAAGUCUCCAGUGCAAAUGUGACCCAAUUUUUCUUUUCUCUGAAACAAAUGUGAGUCCAUCUUGGCAUUCC
ensembl:lncRNA